rnacentral:rRNA from 1 species
GGUGCCCUCUUCACCGCCGGCCCCGUCAACACCAGGCGCCGGAACGUCCUCAACAGCGACGAGAUCGACCGCCUCCCGAGUCGCGCGCCCCCGCGUUCCCUUCCGGCGACCGGCCCACCCCCCAACUUCUUCUGAACUUCUCCAACUUCCUCCCUAGUCUAGAGCUUUAAGUCCAGGCCCCUACAGCAAAAAAUCAGCGUCCACUCCUAUGGAAAUUCUUCUCCAAAAUCUUCCGGCGAUGUGGGCAUCCAGUCGCGGAGAGAUGUGCGGAGCGCUGCAUUCCGUCGUCGUCGACCCCGUGGCCGUGGGCAACCAGGCAGCUGAUGUAGAUACAUCCUGAGCGGUAGUGCUAUUCUACUGUCCACAUUGCAGAUAUAUGGUUGGUGAUUUGUCACUUGUUAAAUUACAUGAUGAGAUGACAUGAGCUGUGGAAAAGGAGCGAGCAGGACAUAAUAAAGAUGAUGUCCUGACUUCAUUUUUGGGACGGUUCGAAAUGUGUUUGGGUCAAUUUCUUCUUUAUUUUCUGGGUCACUAUCUUGUUCUUGCUCAUUUUGUUGAAAGAUGGUCUUGUGUUCUGUGAAGAUGUGAACAAAAAUAUGUAUUCACAACAAAGAACACAAAGAUGUUGUGGUAAUGUAAAGUCCGCCCCAGCAUCUGUAGUUUUCCAGAUUGCUAUGAAUAUUUUGUAAUCUUAACGGUGGCUUUGAUGCAAUUUAUUUCUGUAGAUGUAUAAAACAUGUUCGAUUCAUGGUGAACAAAAACAUGUUGCUGAAUGUCGAG